CAUUUCCUUUCUGCCUUUGAAAUUAAACAUGCAUACUCUACCAUUUAUUUUUAUAAGGACCCCAUUGCUUCUAAGUAAUUGAGAUUUGCGAUAUAGUAGGAUGAUUUGAAACUUGCUCACUUAUGCAAUGAACUUGGGGAUUUAUUUGAUAAAAUUAAAAUUGCAAAAAGUCUGCUCUUCAAUUAUAGAUAAUUACCUACCAAGGCCAAAUAUAUUACUAUUGAUAAAAAUUCUACAAAUAGCUGCUUAUUUGUUUUGAGUUGUGUCAAGUCUUGUUGACCCUUGUUAAGAGAUUUAUCAUGCUCUCAAGAUCAAGAUCACGUACACUCCAGAUACAUAUAUAUGCCGCUUCUACACUGGGAGUGCGCAAAAACAUGCCUUACAUGUCCACCAUACAAACACUCCAUGUUUUAAAGAAUGAUCUCUCUAGUGCAUCUUAGAUAAAGACAUGGGCUAUACAAAUAUAUAUAUAUAUAUAUAUAUAUAUAUAUAAAUGGGCAAGUGCCCGCCGUAGAAUUAGAGGUAUAAAAAUACCCACCUGAAAAAAAAAUAUAGGACACAUGAAGGUCCUAAGUAUACAAAAAAAAGAUGAGCACAUGAAGGCUCACAAGAAAAUAAAAGUGUUAUGAUAGCCAUGUCUAGAAAUACUUGAUGAGAUCAUAUCAACCAACGGAGUUGUUUAUACCAUAUACCACGCACUUGCACA
rnacentral:lncRNA from 1 species